CAGUCAAUUUCGCUAAAUUCCCAUCAGGGAAGCGGGGGAACCAAUUUUUGGGGUGAAUCCCAAUCAGGUUAUCUGCUAAAAAUAUGAUAACCGAAAGGGUAGGGCUAAAUCUUUCGGCCCGAAUCCGUCAGCUAACCUCGUAAGCGUUGAAAGGAAUGGUG
rnacentral:sRNA from 2 species